rnacentral:rRNA from 1 species
AAUAGAUACCCGGGUAGUCCACGCCGUAAACGAUGGAUACUAGCUGUUGGGAGCAAUUUCAGUGGCUAAGCGAAAGUGAUAAGUAUCCCACCUGGGGAGUACGGGCGCAAGCCUGAAACUCAAAGGAAUUGACGGGGGCCCGCACAAGCGGUGGAGCAUGUGGUUUAAUUCGAUGAUACGCGAGGAACCUUACCAAGGCUUAAAUGUAGAUUGACAGAUUUGGAAACAGAUUUUUCUUCGGACAAUUUACAAGGUGCUGCAUGGUUGUCGUCAGCUCGUGCCGUGAGGUGUCAGGUUAAGUCCUAUAACGAGCGCAACCCCUGUUGUUAGUUGCCAGCGAGUGAUGUCGGGAACUCUAACGAGACUGCCAGUGCAAACUGUGAGGAAGGUGGGGAUGACGUCAAAUCAUCACGGCCCUUACGCCUUGGGCUACACACGUGCUACAAUGGCCGGUACAGAGAGCAGCCACUGGGUGACCAGGAGCGAAUCUAUAAAGCCGGUCACAGUUCGGAUCGAAGU